rnacentral:rRNA from 1 species
GACGAACGCUGGCGGCGUGCUUAACACAUGCAAGUCGAACGGAAAGGCCCUGCUUUUGUGGGGUGCUCGAGUGGCGAACGGGUGAGUAACACGUGAGUAACCUGCCCUUUACUUUGGGAUAACUUCAGGAAACUGGGGCUAAUACCGGAUAGGAGCUCCUGCUGCAUGGUGGGGGUUGGAAAGUUUCGGCGGUUGGGGAUGGACUCGCGGCUUAUCAGCUUGUUGGUGGGGUAGUGGCUUACCAAGGCUUUGACGGGUAGCCGGCCUGAGAGGGUGACCGGCCACAUUGGGACUGAGAUACGGCCCAGACUCCUACGGGAGGCAGCAGUGGGGAAUAUUGCACAAUGGGCGGAAGCCUGAUGCAGCAACGCCGCGUGCGGGAUGACGGCCUUCGGGUUGUAAACCGCUUUCGCCUGUGACGAAGAGUGAGUGACGGUAAUGGGUAAAGAAGCACCGGCUAACUACGUG